GUCCCCGCAUCGACUCGACUCCUCCGCUCCCCAUCACCACCGCUGCACUCUCCUCCUCCUCCGCCGCCGCACGCCGCCUUGGUCGCGCUCUCCUCCUCCUUCCCCGUCGCCACUGUGCGUACGUGCUCUCCUCCUCCCCCUCCCCCCCCCACCGCGGUGGCGCUCUCCUUCUCCGCCGCCACCGCUGAUCGCCUCGCUGUACUCGUCUCCAUCGCCACCACAUCAGGUGAGUCGAUCCGAUCUACGCGCCGCAUCUGCUCCGUGCCCCCGCUAGUAUCUCCUCGUACCUUUUCUUUUAGAUCGCGGGGAAGAAGAGCUGCAGCCACGAAUAGACGACAAUCUGAGGCAGUUGGUCGUGGGAGUGUGAGGAUCUUAUCACUUCAGCGGCAUGUCAUCAAGAUCUACUAUGCUGGUGAUGCUGUAUCAUGUGUAUGCAGUAGGCUGGUGAGGUGGCCAGCCGGCAGUGUGCGUUUUGUUUCAUCCUGAUCCAUCGAACCAGCUCCUACUACUAACUGCUGGUGGCUUGGCUUGAAAUAUUAGUGCAUUUGAGUGCUCAGUGGAAGCAAUGAAUGGUAUAAAACUGAAGCAAUCAGUGUGCUUGGUGGGAACCAAUGCAUGAUCUCAGAGAAGUGAAGUUUUACAUAUUUGUGAUGAAUCAACAUGGCAGUUGAUUGUUAAUGGCGCUACAAGUCCUUUUGAUUCUUUGCAGUUGUGUUAUUUAUAUGCAUGCAAGUACCUGAUAUGGUUGGAUGAUACAAAUCUGUUAGAUGCAUUAUGCCUUGAUAGCCGUUUAUCUUUGUAUUUUAAUUUAUGGGUGUACGGCAAACCACAUGUUCUACAUUCUGUAACCGUGGUAGACGUUGCCAGAGAAGAUACGCAAGUUACCUAAUUU